GCAACUGAAGGUUUGUACAGAUGAAAGGCAGCCACGGCGCUUUGGAGGUGGCCAAGACGGUCAUGGAGGUCGCCGACGUGGCCUGGUCGGCGAUUGAGUGUUGCAAUCACCAUAAACACAGCAAAGAUGCCACCGAACGCACUGCUACAGAGGAAGAAGAACUCGAUGCUCUGCGAUCGGAGAAUCGGAGAUUGAGGAAUUUGCUUGAACAAAAUCUCGACCUCCUUCAGAAGCUAUCCGAGUCUCACUGUUUGCUCAAGGAUUGCCCUCCCGAUCUGUACGCUCGUCUCGUUGCGACAGUGGAUUCUAAAAAAUUCUUAAAUGAAAUUAAAUCCCUCAACGAAGCGUCAAAAGAUGGAAUUAGCUAUGAAUUUCCUUUCAGGGAAGCAACAGGAGCUGAUUCGCACACAGCUGACAUACUUGUGAACGUUAGCCGUGAAACGCCCAGUUGGUGGAUAUGGGUUACUGAAGAUAUGGUUCCGAGCAAAGUUGAGGAAUGGAGUGGAAUUGAUGAUGAAAGUUAUGUGAUUGUAUCUGAAGAACAAGUGGUGGAUGCAGUUGCCCACUUUAUGGCUAGAUGUAUUAUGUCAAACCCAAAAACCCGGAAUGUAUCACCUGAGGAACUGCAGAAAACAAUAGCAAAAGCGCUGAAUGGUAUGGGCAGCAAAGUGGAGAAGAUGUUUGAAAUUUGGCAUGCUGGGCUGCUUUUCUAUUCCUUAGCCACUUGGGGACUUGCACUGGCUGGCUUGUACAAGGGUCGGGCUAUAUUGAAAUUGGCUGCCACUGGCGUUCACCAUACAAGCAAAGCCGUGAUGAAGGUGCUCUGAAGAAGCUAUUGAUAUCAAUUCAUCAAAUGUAUGAUAUUGUUUGGGUUCAUUUUUCUUUCUAUCAAGUGAUGUAAAUAACUUUUUAACACUUCUUAUGGCAUUGUUUAUUUUAUUUUAUUUUAUCUUU
rnacentral:misc_RNA from 1 species